UACGAAGGGGGCUAGCGUUUUUCGGAAUUACUGGGCGUAAAGCGCGCGUAGGCGGCGUGUUAAGUCAGGGGGGAAAGGCCUGGGCUCAACCCAGGAACUGCCUUUGAGACUGACGCGCUGGAGUUCGGAAGAGGGUAGUGGAAUUCCCAGUGUAGAGGUGAAAUUCGUAGAUAUUGGGAAGAACACCGGUGGCGAAGGCGGCUACCUGGUCCGAUACUGACGCUGAAGCGCGAAAGCGUGGGGAGCAAACAGG
rnacentral:rRNA from 1 species